rnacentral:rRNA from 1 species
UGGGUGAUCCACCUCUGGGUGGGGAAUAACCCUGGGAAACCGGGGCUAAUACCGCAUAACACUGAAAGGUCAAAGGCGCAAGUCGCCUGGAGAGGAGCCCGCGGCUGAUUAGCUAGUUGGUGAGGUAAAGGCUCACCAAGGCAUUGAUCGGUAGCCGGCCUGAGAGGGCACACGGCCACACUGGCACUGAAACACGGGCCAGACUCCUACGGGAGGCAG